rnacentral:tRNA from 1 species
AAGGAUUUAAGUUAAACAAACUAAUAGCCUUCAAAGCUAUAAAUAAAGAUUACGGGGCUUUAAGCCUUA